rnacentral:rRNA from 1 species
AACUCUAAUUCCAUCCUGAAUGUACCCGAUCUCAUCUGAUCUCGGAAGCUAAGCAGGGUCGGGCCUGGUUAGUACCUGGAUGGGAGGUC